AUACGGAGGGUGCAAGCGUUACUCGGAAUUACUGGGCGUAAAGCGCGCGCAGGCGGUCUUUUAAGUUGGAUGUGAAAGCCUACGGCUCAACCGUAGAACUGCAUCCAAAACUAUUUAGCUAGAGUGUGGGAGAGGAAGAUGGAAUUAGUUGUGUAGGGGUAAAAUCCGUAGAGAUAACUAGGAAUACCAAAAGCGAAGGCAAUCUUCUGGAACACUACUGACGCUGAGGCGCGAAAGCGUGGGUAGCAAACGGGAUUAGAAACCCUAGUAGUCC
rnacentral:rRNA from 1 species